GUUUCUGACCCAUCAGCUUGACGGUAGGGUAUUGGCCUACCGAGGCAGCAACGGGUAACGGGGAAUUAGGGUUCGAUUCCGGAGAGGGAGUCUGAGAUACGGCUACCACAUCCAAGGAAGGCAGCAGGCGCGCAAAUUACCCAAUCCUGACUCAGGGAGGUAGUGACAAGAAAUAACAAUACAGGGCAAUUGUCUUGUAAUUGGAAUGAUGGUGACCUACACCCUCACCAGAGUAACAAUUGGAGGGCCAGUCUGGUGCCAGCAGCCGCGGUAAUUCCAGCUCCAAUAGCGUAUAUUAAACUUGUUGCAGUUAAAAAGCUCGUAGUUGAAUUCUUGCGUGGUGUUAAUAUUGCCUAAUGUCGAGAUUGCACUUCGCUUUUGGGAUUUAUCCCUUAUUACUUUGAGAAAAUUAGAGUGUUUCAAGCAGACUUUUGUCUUG
rnacentral:rRNA from 1 species